GAUGAACGCUGGCGGCGUGCCUAAUACAUGCAAGUCGAGCGAGCGGCGGACGGGUGAGUAACACGUGGAAACCUACCUAUACGACUGGGAUAACGUCGGGAAACCGGUGCUAAUACCGGAUACUUAUGGAUGGAUCUGCGCUGCAUUAGCUAGUUGGUAAGGUAACGGCUUACAAAGGCAACGAUCCCUAGCUGGUCGGAGAGGAUGACCAGCCACACUGGAACUGAGACACGGUCCAGACUCCUACGGGAGGCAGCAGUGGGGAAUAUUGGACAAUGGGCGCAAGCCUGAGGCAGCCAUGCCGCGUGUGUGAAGAAGGCCUUCGGGUUGUAAAGCACUUUCAGCGAGGAGGCGUUACUCGCAGAAGAAGCACCGGCUAACUCCGUGCCAGCAGCCGCGGUAAUUC
rnacentral:rRNA from 1 species